rnacentral:tRNA from 1 species
GGACAUGUAGCUCAGCUGGUUAGAGCGUUCGCUUCACACGCGAGAGGUCAUGGGUUCGAGCCCCUUCUUGUCCACCA